rnacentral:rRNA from 1 species
GAUGAACGCUGGCGGCGUGCCUAAUACAUGCAAGUCGAGCGAACAGACGAGGAGCUUGCUCCUCUGACGUUAGCGGCGGACGGGUGAUUAACACGUGGAUAACCUACCUAUAAGACUGGGAUAACUUCGGGAAACCGGAGCUAACACCGGAUAAUAUAUUGAACCGCAUGGUUCAAUAGUGAAAGACGGUUUUGCUGUCACUUAUAGAUGGAUCCGCGCCGCAUUAGCUAGUUGGUAAGGUAACGGCUUACCAAGGCGACGAUGCGUAGCCGACCUGAGAGGGUGAUCGGCCACACUGGAACUGAGACACGGUCCAGACUCCUACGGGAGGCAGCAGUAGGGAAUCUUCCGCAAUGGGCGAAAGCCUGACGGAGCAACGCCGCGUGAGUGAUGAAGGUCUUCGGAUCGUAAAACUCUGUUAUUAGGGAAGAACAAAUGUGUAAGUAACUAUGCACGUCUUGACGGUACCUAAUCAGAAAGCCACGGCUAACUACGUG